GAUGAACGCUGGCGGCGUGCUUAACACAUGCAAGUCGAACGGAGAAAGGGUAGCUUGCUAUCUUUUCUUAGUGGCGGACGGGUGAGUAACGCGUGGGUAACCUGCCCUUUGCAGGGGGAUAACAGUGAGAAAUCACUGCUAAUACCGCAUACCAACUUCUUUCGCAUGAAAGAAGUUUGAAAGAUUUAUCGGCAAAGGAUGGACCCGCGUUGGAUUAGCUAGUUGGUGAGAUAACAGCCCACCAAGGCAACGAUCCAUAGCCGGCCUGAGAGGGUGAACGGCCACACUGGGACUGAGACACGGCCCAGACUCCUACGGGAGGCAGCAGUGGGGAAUAUUGCACAAUGGGCGAAAGCCUGAUGCAGCGACGCCGCGUGAAGGAUGAAGGUCUUCGGGAUUGUAAAACUUCUAUCAGCAGGGAAGAAAGGGCCUAUGGCCUAUGACGGUACCUGACUAAGAAGCCCCGGCUAACUACGUGCCAGCAGCCGCGGUAAUAGU
rnacentral:rRNA from 1 species